ACACUAUCAUUAACUGAAUCCAUAGGUUAAUGAGGCGAACCGGGGGAACUGAAACAUCUAAGUACCCCGAGGAAAAGAAAUCAACCGAGAUUCCCCCAGUAGCGGCGAGCGAACGGGGAGGAGCCCAGAGCCUGAAUCAGUGUGUGUGUUAGUGGAAGCGUCUGGAAAGGCGCGCGAUACAGGGUGACAGCCCCGUACACAAAAAUGCACAUAUUGUGAGCUCGAUGAGUAGGGCGGGACACGUGGUAUCCUGUCUGAAUAUGGGGGGACCAUCCUCCAAGGCUAAAUACUCCUGACUGACCGAUAGUGAACCAGUACCGUGAGGGAAAGGCGAAAAGAACCCCGGCGAGGGGAGUGAAAAAGAACCUGAAACCGUGUACGUACAAGCAGUGGGAGCCUCUUUUAUGGGGUGACUGCGUACCUUUUGUAUAAUGGGUCAGCGACUUAUAUUCUGUAGCAAGGUUAACCGAAUAGGGGAGCCGAAGGGAAACCGAGUCUUAACUGGGCGUUAAGUUGCAGGGUAUAGACCCGAAACCCGGUGAUCUAGCCAUGGGCAGGUUGAAGGUUGGGUAACACUAACUGGAGGACCGAACCGACUAAUGUUGAAAAAUUAGCGGAUGACUUGUGGCUGGGGGUGAAAGGCCAAUCAAACCGGGAGAUAGCUGGUUCUCCCCGAAAGCUAUUUAGGUAGCGCCUCGUGAACUCAUCUCCGGGGGUAGAGCACUGUUUCGGCAAGGGGGUCAUCCCGACUUACCAACCCGAUGCAAACUGCGAAUACCGGAGAAUGUUAUCACGGGAGACACACGGCGGGUGCUAACGUCCGUCGUGAAGAGGGAAACAACCCAGACCGCCAGCUAAGGUCCCAAAGUCAUGGUUAAGUGGGAAACGAUGUGGGAAGGCCCAGACAGCCAGGAUGUUGGCUUAGAAGCAGCCAUCAUUUAAAGAAAGCGUAAUAGCUCACUGGUCGAGUCGGCCUGCGCGGAAGAUGUAACGGGGCUAAACCAUGCACCGAAGCUGCGGCAGCGACACUAUGUGUUGUUGGGUAGGGGAGCGUUCUGUAAGCCUGUGAAGGUGUNNNNNNNNNNNNNNNAUGCUGGAGGUAUCAGAAGUGCGAAUGCUGACAUAAGUAACGAUAAAGCGGGUGAAAAGCCCGCUCGCCGGAAGACCAAGGGUUCCUGUCCAACGUUAAUCGGGGCAGGGUGAGUCGACCCCUAAGGCGAGGCCGAAAGGCGUAGUCGAUGGGAAACAGGUUAAUAUUCCUGUACUUGGUGUUACUGCGAAGGGGGGACGGAGAAGGCUAUGUUGGCCGGGCGACGGUUGUCCCGGUUUAAGCGUGUAGGCUGGUUUUCCAGGCAAAUCCGGAAAAUCAAGGCUGAGGCGUGAUGACGAGGCACUACGGUGCUGAAGCAACAAAUGCCCUGCUUCCAGGAAAAGCCUCUAAGCAUCAGGUAACAUCAAAUCGUACCCCAAACCGACACAGGUGGUCAGGUAGAGAAUACCAAGGCGCUUGAGAGAACUCGGGUGAAGGAACUAGGCAAAAUGGUGCCGUAACUUCGGGAGAAGGCACGCUGAUAUGUAGGUGAAGUCCCUCGCGGAUGGAGCUGAAAUCAGUCGAAGAUACCAGCUGGCUGCAACUGUUUAUUAAAAACACAGCACUGUGCAAACACGAAAGUGGACGUAUACGGUGUGACGCCUGCCCGGUGCCGGAAGGUUAAUUGAUGGGGUUAGCGCAAGCGAAGCUCUUGAUCGAAGCCCCGGUAAACGGCGGCCGUAACUAUAACGGUCCUAAGGUAGCGAAAUUCCUUGUCGGGUAAGUUCCGACCUGCACGAAUGGCGUAAUGAUGGCCAGGCUGUCUCCACCCGAGACUCAGUGAAAUUGAACUCGCUGUGAAGAUGCAGUGUACCCGCGGCAAGACGGAAAGACCCCGUGAACCUUUACUAUAGCUUGACACUGAACAUUGAGCCUUGAUGUGUAGGAUAGGUGGGAGGCUUAGAAGUGUGGACGCCAGUCUGCAUGGAGCCGACCUUGAAAUACCACCCUUUAAUGUUUGAUGUUCUAACGUUGACCCGUGAUCCGGGUUGCGGACAGUGUCUGGUGGGUAGUUUGACUGGGGCGGUCUCCUCCUAAAGAGUAACGGAGGAGCACGAAGGUUGGCUAAUCCUGGUCGGACAUCAGGAGGUUAGUGCAAUGGCAUAAGCCAGCUUGACUGCGAGCGUGACGGCGCGAGCAGGUGCGAAAGCAGGUCAUAGUGAUCCGGUGGUUCUGAAUGGAAGGGCCAUCGCUCAACGGAUAAAAGGUACUCCGGGGAUAACAGGCUGAUACCGCCCAAGAGUUCAUAUCGACGGCGGUGUUUGGCACCUCGAUGUCGGCUCAUCACAUCCUGGGGCUGAAGUAGGUCCCAAGGGUAUGGCUGUUCGCCAUUUAAAGUGGUACGCGAGCUGGGUUUAGAACGUCGUGAGACAGUUCGGUCCCUAUCUGCCGUGGGCGCUGGAGAACUGAGGGGGGCUGCUCCUAGUACGAGAGGACCGGAGUGGACGCAUCACUGGUGUUCGGGUUGUCAUGCCAAUGGCACUGCCCGGUAGCUAAAUGCGGAAGAGAUAAGUGCUGAAAGCAUCUAAGCACGAAACUUGCCCCGAGAUGAGUUCUCCCUGACCCUUUAAGGGUCCUGAAGGAACGUUGAAGACGACGACGUUGAUAGGCCGGGUGUGUAAGCGCAGCGAUGCGUUGAGCUAACCGGUACUAAUGAACCGUGAGGCUUAACCUU
rnacentral:rRNA from 1 species